ensembl:ncRNA T28B11.17 ncRNA
ACAUGCUUCUUCUUCUUCUUGUAUUCGUCAACAUCGUCGUAUUCGCCCACUAAUCACAUAUUCAUUUCUUGUUUUUCCGCGUUGCGCGCGCUGGCUGCGCCCAACGCAUUCUCGUGUUCGAAGUCACGAGUCUUCUGAAUCCUCAUGACU